rnacentral:lncRNA from 1 species
GAGAAGAUGGGGCUUGAAAAAUUGGGGAAAUUGCUGGACCAAAAUCGAUACGGAUUGAAGCGCAAUGCUGGGUCGGAUAGUCUACUGACAGCUUCUUCACAUUUAGAAUGAUACAAAGCUUUGAUUUGGAUUCCAAGAUAUCAAGAUUUAUCAUCACAUUUGGUUCAAAUCCCUUAUGGCGUCGCCCCGCGUUUGCUCCAAUUUCUUACGCCAUCCCAUUUGCUCCAAUUUCUUCUUACAUUACGUAUCACUCAUUUAUUAGUGUAAUUUGUAAGAAUCUUUUUUUUUUUUUAGUGUAAUUCAUUCUGUUUAAUGGAAUAGAUUAAAAAACAAGCAGCCUCUGCACAAUUAGCAGAUUUUGUUUAUAGUUGAGAUUUGAUUUGAUAACGACCCAUUAAUAUCUAAUUAACAAAAAUUCUGUUGGCUUAUCAUAUGCUUUAAUUUUGGGGUUACUAACUUCCUAGACUACAAUGCUUUGACUUUAUUACAUUAUUUAAGUAUUGAAUCACUAAACAUUAGGGAUCAUUGUAGUUGUUAAUGACAGUUUUGAUGGAAGGAUGUGUGACCUUUUUGUUAUUUAAGUGAAGUCAAAAGAAGAGAAUAUAUGUCAAUGCCAUAAUCCCAAGUAAUUAAUGAUAAUUACUUAAUGCUCUAUUAAUUUCCCUUCAAUCACAAAUAUGAUACAUAAACAUCACAAAACAACAAACCAUAUAUGUAAUUCAACUGCAAACCUGAAACAGAGUAUAGCAUAUAUAAUCUGAUUUACCACUUAGUCAAUCAUAUAAUGUUAGUUUUUCAUGUAUAUAUUAUAUAAGGAGCAUAAAGUUGAUGAGAACUCAAACUCUCUUAGGUUGGGUCUACGUUAAAGUUGUUGGUGCUUCUCAUUCUUGUCUUCUUAAUUUAAUGUUGAGACGAGAUUCUUUAUAAGAUCUAAUUUUUUCAGCUGCUCGGCGUAAUGGCCUUCCAAUUGAAGUUCUUUGCAAAGCUGAAACUUCUUCAGAUCUGGGGGAGGAUGGUGAGUUCUUU